AGGUCAUUUGGUUGUACUGUGCUUGAAAUGUUAACAACCAAGCCGCCAUGGUUUGAUUUAGAACCUAUUUCUGCUAUUUACCGCAUUGCCUCACAACCCACAAUACCUCAUUUGCCUGAAGUCUCGUCUAAUUUUUGCAAAAAUUUUGUAAAUGAUUGUUUUAUAAGUGACCCAGCAUUACGACCAAACGCAUCGCAGCUGUUGUCUUAUGAUUGGAUUAGAGUAUACAGAGAGUAAUGCAUUGUUAAUGAAAUUUGUUACAGCAAUAAAAUAAUUGUUUAUAAUUUUUGCAAACAA